GCUCGGCUGGUCUAGUGGUAUGAUUCUCGCUUAGGGUCGCACUCUAAGUUAAUAUGCGAGAGGUCCCCGGUUCAAACCCGGGGUCGAGCC
rnacentral:tRNA from 1 species